rnacentral:rRNA from 1 species
GUACAAAGGUAGCAUAAUAAGUUGUUUUUUAAUUAAAGACUGGAAUGAAAGAAUUGAUGAAAUUUAAACUUUCUAAAAUUUAAAAUUUAAAUUUUUUUAUUAAGUAAAAAGACUUAAAUUGAUUUAUGGGACGAGAAGACCCUAUAGAAUUUUAUAUAGUUUAUCUUAAAAUUUUAUUUAAACUAUAUUUAGUUGGGAGGACUAUUAAAACUUAAAACUUUAAUAUAUUUAAAAUAUUACUUUGAUAAAAGGAAUUUAAAAAUUAAUAAUUUAUAAUUAAUUUAAUAUUAAUUACCUUAGGGAUAACAGCAUAAUAUUUUUUUUUAGAUCAUAUAUAAAAAAUUGUUUAUGACCUCGAUGUUGAAUUAAGAUAAAAUUUGAAAGGAGAUUUUUAAAUUUUUGGU